rnacentral:rRNA from 1 species
CGACCCCAGGUCAGGCGGGGUACCCGCUGAAUUUAAGCA